GAGUGAAGGUCGGACUGUUACUGGAUAAAGGACUUUCUAACGGACCUCCCUCAGAGAGUGAAGGUCGGACUGUUUCUGGAUCAAGGACUUUCUAACGGACCGCCCUCAGAGAGUGAAGGUCGGACACCAUCUUUCCUCAACCCUCAGCGUCAGCACCCCACAGGGCUGUGUUUUCAGCCCCUUGCUCUUCAGUCUUUACACCUGUGACUGUAUUCCCAUCCAUCCCAGCAAUUCCAUCAUCAAAUUUGCGGAUGCGACUCCAGUGAUGGGGCUCAUCACAGAAGGGGAGGAGACUGACUAUAGAGAAGAGGUGAAGGCACUGGCAGACCACUAUGCCAAAAAUAACCUCAUUCUCAACCCCACAAAGACCAAGGAGCUGAUUGUUGAUUUCAGGAAACAAAAUUCCUGAUCCCAUCCAGCCCGUCUACAUCAUAGGAGAGGAGGUGGAAAGGGUCUCAGAGUGCAAGUUCCUGGGCGUGAGCAUCUCAAGCAACAUGACCUGGAAAAGCAACACCACUGCACUCCAGAAAAAAGCUGCACGCUGGCAGAGAGAAAGAAAUGACAUCAUCUUACAUCUCUAGAGGAGCUGUAUAAGAGCCACUGCAGCAUCCUCAGGGACUCAUCCCACCCAGGUCACCACUGGCUUGAAGUGUUGCCCUCAGGGAGGCGCUAUAAGAGCAUCAAAGCAAGGACAAAUAGACUGAAAAACAGUUUCUAUCCUAGAGCUGUUAUUGCCCUAAACUCUGCACGUACCUGAACACUCACCACUUUAUUACCUUGCUUACCUCUGUGCAAUAUGUUUUUAACAUUUUAUUAUGUUUUUACGUUUUUUUAUUAUUGUUUGUUGUCUCAAGACUAUUUUAUGUAGGUUGUUUUAAAAGCACUGAGCUGGAUUGCUGUCCACUUUCAUUGUUCCCAUACAAUGACAAUAAAGGUAUUCUGAUUCAGA